AGACCCGAAACCCGGUGAUCUAGCCAUGGGCAGGUUGAAGGUUGGGUAACACUAACUGGAGGACCGAACCGACUAAUGUUGAAAAAUUAGCGGAUGACCUGUGGCUGGGGGUGAAAGGCCAAUCAAACCGGGAGAUAGCUGGUUCUCCCCGAAAGCUAUUUAGGUAGCGCCUCGUGAAUUCAUCUCCGGGGGUAGAGCACUGUUUCGGCUAGGGGGCCAUCCCGGCUUACCAACCCGAUGCAAACUGCGAAUACCGGAGAAUGUUAUCACGGGAGACACACGGCGGGUGCUAACGUCCGUCGUGAAGAGGGAAACAACCCAGACCGCCAGCUAAGGUCCCAAAGUCAUGGUUAAGUGGG
rnacentral:rRNA from 1 species